CUCUUGAACGUUGAUCUCAAAUCCAGGAGANAC
rnacentral:rRNA from 1 species